rnacentral:lncRNA from 1 species
GGCGUCGGCUGCAGGUGGGGAGAGACGGGAAGAGGGGUUUGCUUAGCAGUACGAGAGGACGACACGGAGACUCAGCAUAAAGACAAGGCCCAUCCACUCUGCGGAAAAUGCAAAUCCCUGCCGAACAAUGGGCCAAAAUGAUCUUCUUUGGGCCCAGUUUAACUCAUCGUCUUCUUCCUUCCUUCCCAUUGUCAUUCUUUCCGUAAAAAAUAGUAUCCUAUUGUAAUUCUUCGAGAAAAAAACUAUUUUCAUUUUUGAAGAAACUUUCAAUUCAUUCAUAAUCGCUCUUCCCUCACUAGAGUCGAGCAAACUUUGUUUCAGUAGACAGUCAGAAAUUCAUCGCGCUAAGGCUUCAAGGACCAGCAAAUUGGAAGGAUCAAAUCUGUAAACACACGGAUGAAGACAUGAUCUAAACGGAUCCACCGAAGACCAGCACACAUCGAAUCCCGCGAGAUCAGACAAAGACAAAUCUUGACCCACCAUCUAACAAUGUUGGACGCGCCACCAGCACGGGGAUCAAACAUGGGCGACAUUAUUCCUACUAAAGGGUAUCGUUGCAGCCACACAACCACAACCAAGACGCUGGAGUUAACAAGAAUUCAUUAGGAAAAUCCCACCUGACCUCAUAGCUUCAAAUAGUUUAUCCUUGUCAUCACCCGAUAUUAGCUUUACCCAAUCCUGGCCGCUGUCGCCAUAGUUUUCCUACAUGUCACCGCCUUAGUCCCCCCUUCUUUUCCUUAUCCGGUGGCCUCGUUAUCGGGAAGAGGAGCGAGGCUCGAUUACCUUAUUUUCUUUUCCUUAGGUUUUUGUUCCCUUGGCAACAUCGACUAGUUGUUCGCAGCAUGGCAUGUUGUAAUAAGGUUUCUCUGAUUUCUUCCUAACUCGACGACAUCUGAUCCGGCAUCGACGAAGGCCUGUGAGAGUUUGUGUCCUUGGAUCCGUUGGUUCCCUUAAGAUAUUGGCAAUUUGUGUGUCUUUCAAGGAGAGUUAUUGGUUGGCUAUUAGUGCAGUGACUUCCACAUCUUCUUCUUUGUUGUUCUAUGACAUAGUAUGAUUUCUUCAACCCUCUGAGCUCGUGGCGAUGGAUUACAAGUUUGUACCACGUGGUGUGAUGCUCCAAACGACACUACUUCAAUGACUUAUAAAUCUCAUGUCACAGACGAGUGACUAUUGCAGUCUUCAAAGUCUGGUAUGGCGAGAGCAUUUGUAAGUGUCCCUAUCACUUAUUGUUGGUUUAUUACAACUUUCAAUCUCCAUCACAUGUCGGAUGAUGUGCGAUCGAGGAUGAAGAAGGUUAGUAUGAUUUUUAGUGUAAUUUAAUUUUUACUGAUCGUUCUGCAUUGAGUUGUCUUUACAUUUUACUGGUUUCUGUUUCCUUGAUAUUAAUCAAAUUUAAGAUGUCCUUGGGUGUGUUUAUUAAGGAAAAGAAUAGUACAUGAUAUGUACAUCCUGCUCUUGCCAAUUUCAACCAAUCUCCUUUAUAUGGUUGUUGUUUUCUUGAAUUUUUUUCUCAGUCUAUUCUCUAUCGAUUGUCAGCUUUCUUUGGUUUAUUGACUGAGUUUUCUUUUAUUUUUUACAUUUUUUCUUCUAUUUUCUCUUCCCUUUUUCUCCUUCUCAUUUUUAUUUUUUGCCAGAUUUUACUAAUGAACCCAAAAAAAUACAUAAACAUUUUUCAAAUAGACUGUAAACAUUUUUGCUAAAAUGGAAAUAUUUUUUAAUACAUCUUGGCUAUUUUAAAAACAUUAUUAUUAUUUUGGAAAAGGAGGAAAGACCCCCGCCUCUGCAUCAUCACAAUGCAUGUGGCCAAUUUCCAAAACAUUAUAAUCAUUUUCAGAUACAUGAUGAAAUUGUUUGAUAAACAUUUAAUUUUUUUCACAUACUGUUAACAUUCUAUAAAUAGAUGAUGAUUUUCUAAAUAAAGUUCAUUAUUUUUUUUAGAAAAAAUCACAAAAAUUAAAAUAAUAUAAUAAAGUUUAAUUCACAUGUUUAUGGAAUAAUGUUUGUAUUUGAUAAAAUAAAGCCAUAAAAAUCACUAGAGCCGAAGUACAGGGUGAGCCCAAACUAGGCCAUUCAUCCCAUAAUGAUGUGUCAUGUGCGCCAUCCCCCUCUGUGUAUGUUCACUCCCCAAAAGCAUGUAAGUCUGACUCCGGAUCCAAAGGUCGCGUGUUCGAUUGAUUGAUGUCGGGUUCAAUACCCUCAGUGUCUUGUUUUCUGAAUUCACUCACAUAAUAUUGUGGCUUGGAUGAACUACCUUCACCAAAUUCUUCUAGAUAUAUGGAGAUUGAAUCAGAUGUCCCUCCCCGUGGGCAAACGAUUUAUGCAUGACUUGCACUGUCGAUGUUUUUUUAGUACGUAUUUUUGCGCGUUUCUCCAAUGCUUCAUGCUUAAUUUGUUUGAUUUUCAAAUCAGACAGAUGCAAAACCAGCGGGGUCAUGAUAACAUCAUCACCUUGUCUAAGCUAGUACUCGCUCCGUUCUAAAAUAAGUGCUUCAACCUUAAUACAUCUUUACACUAACGGUAAUACAAAGUUAAGACACUUAUUUUAAGACGGAGGGAGUACCUGUGAUGUUUCGAUAAAAUGGUAUCUUAGACGGCAAAUGAUAAAGAAUAUGCUUGUCGAGAAGUUGCAUAUGAUAUAUGAAAAACAUCAUAGAUAGUGCAAGUAAUCGUGCUAAUUCAUGUAGAGUUUCUAUGGAUUGGAAGAUGGUACUGCAGAACUUCGGCAAGUCAGAUGACCAUGAAGACAUUGGGUAAAAAAAAUUGAUCUUCAGCUACAACCAGCAAAGAAGAAGAUAAAAUUAUUGCUUAGAGCAUAUCUAGCAGAUCCGCAAAGCGGCAAAAUCAUAUUUAACGCACUCAGCGUCAAACUGUCGACCGAUCGCCUGUGAUCGUUUAGAUUGGGCCGACCCAUUUAAACAUUUUCAGCUUUCCCAGUUUACGAAACCUCCUAAACGUUCCCUGUUGGCUCUUUUACAGUUUUGAGAAAAUUCUAGAAGGUUCCUGAGCCGGAUAUUUUUUUGCUAUAUUUCUCUUCCUUUUUUUUCUGUUUCUCUUUUGCUCAUUUCUUUCUCAAAUUAUUUUAUUUUCUAAUAUAUUUUUUUGCAUUUUCGAAAAUUUGUUCGUGUUUCAGUAAGUGUUCAAGAAUUUCAAUAAAUGUUUGUAUUUUCAAAAUAUGUUUGCAUUUUUCAUAAAUUUGUUUGCUUUUUCAAAAAUUGUUCAUAGAUUCAGAAAUUGUUCAUAUUUUCAAAAAAACGUUCAGUUCACAAAUACAAAAAAAUGAUCGCACUUUACAAAAUAUGUUCUUGUUUUUUUUAAAAUUACAAAUUUUAAAAAGUUUAUAUUUCCAAAAUAUCUUUGCAUUAAAAAAUUGGUGGCAAUUUAUAAAUGUUAUCGAACCAUCUAGAAAAUCACACAAAUUUCCGUCUUCAGCGCAUAUACAUAAAAUGGCAAAAACACUUGUAUCCAACACGGACAAGAGUGUUGUCAAUCCCCUUAAACUCCUUACUUGCAAAUAAUAAGUAGUGUAGUUGGAUAGUUUGAUAAAUAUAAAUUAAACAUAAAUAAAAAAGUAAAUAAAGACAACAAGCUAUUUUGAGUUUUUUUAUUUAUAUUUGUGAAUAGACCCGGUCCAUAGUUUUCGUUAGAGACUCGGCCGACCCCUUGAGGGUCCUUGGACCCCAAGGCAAGGCCCCCCUCCCUCCCACCUAUAUAUACGGAGGUUUUAGGGCUAAUUUGAGACGACUUUUCCACGGCAGCCCGACCACAUACCUCCACGGUUUUUCCUCUAGAUCGCGUUUCUGCGAAGCUCGGGCGGAGCCCUGCUGAGACAAGGUCAUCACCAACCUCCGGAGCACCGUCACGCUGCCGGAGAACUCUUCUACCUCUCCGUCUCUCUUGCUGGAUCAAGAAGGCCGAGAUCAUCGUCGAGGUGUACGUGUGCUGAACGCGGAGGUGCCGUCCGUUCGGUACUAGAUCGUGCGACUGAUCGCGGGAUUGUUCGCGGGGCGAAUCGAGGGACGUGAGGACGCUCCACUACAUCAACCGCGUUCUCUAACGCUUCUGCUGUACGGUCUACAAGGGUACGUAGAUCACUCAUCCCCUCUCGUAGAUGGACAUCACCAUGAUAGGUCUUCGUGCGCGUAGGAAAUUUUUUGUUUCCCAUGCGACGUUCCCCAACAGUGUGGUGGUGGCUUCGGCAAUGGUGGUGGUGGUAGGGUGGCUUCGGCAAUGGUGGUGGUAGUGGUGGUGGCUUCGACAAUGGUGAUGGUGGUAGGGUGGCUUCGGCAAUGGUGAUGGUGGUAGGGUGGCUUCGGCAAUGGCGAUGGUGGUAGGGUGGCUUCCGCAAGGGUGGUGGUGGUGGCGGCUUCGGCAAUGGUGGUGGUGGUAGGGUGGCUUCGGCAAUGGUGGUGGUAGUGGUGGUGGCUUCGACAAUGGUGGUGGUGGUGUCUUCGACAAUGGUGGUGGUGCUUCGGCAAGCCAUGUCAAUGGUGGUGAUGAUGGCCACACUCAAUCUCCGGUCCAAGUCCAUAAAGGUGGUGGUGCGAGCUCUCCGGUUGAAGUUCGUGAAGGUGAUGGCGCGAGCUCUCCGGUCAAUGUUGGUGAUGGAGCUUGAUUGAUCUAUGUGAUUUGUGCAUCUUUUGCCUAGUUUAUCGUGCAUACAUGAAGCUCAUCAUUUUGGAUGUGAUGAACUAGUAUGAUGAUCUACUAGCUAGUAAUGUAUAUAUAUGAAAAUGAUGCACCUGUCAUGAUAAACUUGAUAAUAUUUGCAUAUAAUUGUAUUUGCGGAACAACGAGUCCUCCGACGCAGAAUAGAUCCCGCAAACGCGUCUUGCAUAACAUCUACGGGACGGGUUUACGGAAACUGUUCCGUCAGAGGGCUCGUCGUCCCAUAAAAUGUUUUUGCGGGAUCUCUCAAACCAUUUUUUCGGGCCGGCCGUUUGCGGAGUUUGCUAGAGAUGUUUUUUUUGCUCAUGUCAACAUGCAAAGCUUACUAUUGUGCUCUCGCCUUGGCUAAUAUUCUUCGUACUAAAUUAUUUAUUUUAGAUUUACCUGGAUGUGAAUGUAUCAUGACAAAGGAAGUAGCUGACUGGAUACAUUCUCUACCAUUUUUGCUGAACCAGCAGCAAACCUCUGGACUGGAGAAGGCCCAUUCUCCUUCUGGAGCGCCAGAAAUGUCUCAACCGUGGCACCUCACGCAGGAGCAGGAGAACAAACUAAAGAUGGCGCCGAGGGAAGCGCGAGACUGGCCGUCGUUGGCAGGGCACGUCUCAAACUCUCCAUCAACCUGGAGAACCACAUGAGGCCACGACCACAUGCUGCACCAGCUCCUUAAUUUAAGCUCCAAAGGAACUGUUAAUUGGAAAAAAUUCAGCCUAUAAUCUAUGAUAUGAUAAUGAAGCUACAGCGUACUUCUCUGUAGCUUAAGUCCCUAAUCUACCAUUAAUGUCGCUCUUGUAGAUUGGUCAGCGAGCAACAACACACCGGAUCCGUGGCGCAAUGGUAGCGCGUCUGACUCCAGAUCAGAAGGUUGCGUGUUCGAUUCACGUCGGGUUCAAAGCCCCGAUCCUAUUCCGGUCAUUUUAACUUUUAUUUUUACUUUAUUUUUAUUUCUAUUUUUAUUUUUGUUUCUCUAGCAGGCGCUUUGUACCCCUGAUGUUGUAUUAAAUUACCCAAUAUGCGACCCAUAAAUGAAGGAAACGAUUUGAUUUUGGAAUCUGUCAAAGUCGCCGUCCGUAUCAGUACUUAAAUGGCGAGGCGAGACCUUUGAAAGCAACAACAGCUAGCUUGGCUUAUUGGCUUUAGUGCAGCUACACCAUUCACGAAUCCCAGGUUUGAUUCCUGAACAACACCUUUUUUAUCGGAUUUUCUGUUUUAUUAUUUCAAUUUGUUUGUUGCCUUCUUUUAAUUAACUUGAAACUUUUCAAAAUUCCAAUUUUAAAAGUUUCAAGUUUUGAAAAACUGUUUGCAUAUUAUAAAAGAAUCCACAAUUUUCAAAAAUAUAUUCUUUUAUUUAAUUCGGAACUUUUCAAUAUUCCAAUUUUAAAAGUUUUGAGUUUUGAAAAAAAUGUUUGCAUAUUAUAAAAGAAUCCACAAUUUCCAAAAAUAUAUACAGAAAAUAUAGAACAUUCAUGAUUUGAAAAUGAUCAUGUAUUCAAAACAUAGAAAAAAUGUUCAGGAAAUCAUAAAAUGUCUAGAAAUUCAAAAGAAGGAUCAGGAAAUCAUAAAUUGUUUGCGGAAUUCAAAAUUGUUUAUGAUUUUCAAAAAACAGUUUGCAUAUUAUAAAAUAAUUCACAAUUUUGACAAAUAUAUUCUGGAAAAUAUAAAAUGUUUCUUAUUUCAAUUUAUUUUUCUUCUAUAAAUUAAUUCAGAAUUUUUCAAAAUUCUGUAUUUAAAAGGUUUUGAGUUUUGGAAAAACGAAUCAUGAAAUCAUAAAAUGUUUGUAAUUUAAAUAAACUUUCAGGAAAACAUAAAAUGAUCACGGACUAAAAAAUGUUGAUGAUUUUAAAGAACUGUUUCGAUAUCGUAAAAGAAUUCACAAUUUUGAAAAAUAUAUUCAUCCAAUAUAAAACAUUCAAGAUUUUGAAAAUGAUGAUGUAUUCAAAACAUAUCCAUGAAUUCAAAGAAAAUGUGUGUGACAUUUAUAAAAUGUUACAAAAUUUGAUAACAUGGACAGCGGGGCCAUCAUCAACGAGGAUGGCAAAAAAAAAUAAGUGGUAAUAUGAUGGGCCAUCAUGGUAAAAUAGAAAAAUAGAGAACGCUCAUAUGUCAGGAUAUUGAGCCAUACUUAUUUGGCUACGACGUAAUAUUUUGGUUUACCGUUGCAACGCACGGGACUGUAAACCAAAUAGAGUGCAUUUAAUACCGCAUGACAGAACAACCUUUUUACAAACACGCAAUCAUCAAAUAAGCAAGCGCACUCCCCCCCCCCCCCCNNNNNNNNNNNNNNNNNNNNNNNNNNNNNNNNNNNNNNNNNNNNNNNNNNNNNNNNNNNNNNNNNNNNNNNNNNNNNNNNNNNNNNNNNNNNNNNNNNNNNNNNNNNNNNNNNNNNNNNNNNNNNNNNNNAACAGCUCCUCCUCGACCAUCAUGUUUACGUAAGGAAAGCAAUGGCAUUUGCACCAUCUACGGGGCUAUUCUUCCUUUUCCUCUAGGCUCACACCUAUAAAGCGGAUUCGGACCUGCAAAUGCACUUGCAAGCUUAAUGCCUUUGCAUAGCUCCUCCAGAAUGAUAGACCCAGCACCACUGGCAUGCUUCUUAGGCAUAACAUUCAAUGUCACCGAGGAUUCGAACUGCGUGCUCUGCAACCCAGAAGAACUGAAAACCAGGGAUUGUCUUUUCUGGAGCUGCCCCUUCAACACCUUAUAUGUGGAGUGGCGUUGAACUGUUUAUAUGUGGACACCAACUCAGGUACACAGUAUCUUCUUUGAUUGGCCAUGACCCACUUCCCCCUUAAUUGCCUCCCCCAACCCCAACCCCUUGCGGUCACUCUAUGUUGACCGUGUAGAUACCUUCUUGUAAGGUUUAAUAAAAAGGAAAUAAGGAAGGGUGACAGAGAAGAAAUAAAGGAAAAACGGACACGAGGUGAUAGAAAAAGGAAAAUGAUGCGCACGGUAAAAGAAAUUAAGGGGGCUGAAGGAAUACAUAUUAAAAUAAUUGAUGCACAGAUACUUUGAACUUUUUAGCUUGGUGGAAAAGAUGGAGAAAAAAAAUCAAAAAUCGAAAUGUAUUUUUAAUGGUAAAAAAGUCACACAAUGUUGCUUGGUGUGCAUGAAGAUUUUUAUUAACAAUAUGUUGUCUAUACAUCCGUUGCAACGCACGAACCCUUUUGGUAGUUUUUUCCAACUGUCUAAGCAUAUAUUUUUUUGUACACCCGGUGCAACGCACGGGCCCUUUUACUAGUAUAAUAAUAAAUUGAAUACCUACUUUUAGGUCCUGUUUGAAACCAUUGAGAUUAUAUAAUCUAGUUUUUAUAAUCUUUUAUGUCUUCAAAUAGGAUAAAUUAUUAUGUAGAUUAUAAAAACUAGAUGGACAAGUUACUAAAAACUUAUAAUCUACUCUACCCGAACUAAAAUCAGAUUAUAGAUUGCUAAUGACCCAUUAUCCAUGUAAAAUUGAAGAUAAUUACAUUCCAAUCACUGCCACCCUCCUCUUUAAAAAAAUAGAGGACAGACAAGUCAUUAUACAAUGUAAAACCUGGAUUACAGUUUAUAUAAUCUGGUCUGCAAACAUGUCCACCUAGAUUACCCAUUAUCCAAGUAAAAUUGGAGAUAAUUACAUUCCCGCCACCGUCACCCUCCUCUUUUAAGAAAAAUAGAGGACAUGCAAGUCAUUAUGCAAUGUAAAACCUGGAUUACAAUUUAUAUAAUCUGGCCUCCAAACAUGUCCACCUAGAUUAUCUUUAUAAACCAGAUUAUAUAAUCUAUCUUCAUAAUCCAGAUUAUCAUAAUCUAUUGUGGUUCCAAACAGGGCCUUAGUGUAAUAUUUGCGCGCAAAAGUCACCGACGGUCUACUUAGUUUGACAUCGUAUUGUGAUUCAUCAAGCUCCUAUUCCGGUCCUAUAUUUUCCUUUUCUAUUUCUCAGAUGAUUAAUUUGCUAGAUUUCAGAUCAUAUUAUGCAUAAAAGCAGAGUAGAUAUUGCUCCAACGACUGAAUAAGCGAGGUAGAUUUUGUUCCCGAUAAGAGGUUCUGUUCUUCCUUGGUGCUUAAUUUGGAAGCAUUUGUCACCUCCACGAAAAUUCAAACUCUGCAAGCCAAAAAUAUUCAGGCUCCGAAAGCAACUCCGAGGGGCCGAGCCAGGGGCAGGCGCUUUGUUCUCCAAUAAUGAUAAAUUGAAUGCCUACUUUUAGUUCGACAGUGUAUUGUGAUUCACCAGGCUCCAACUCUUCCUGGUUACCACUAUGGAGGUGUUUGGUCCGCAGUUUUCCACCCGCUACCUGAUUACGUCGCAACCUCAUACCAUUAAUCUUGUUUGCUUGGCUCUGCCCGUAAACAAGGUCCCGCGUAAACAGAUCCCGGCGUUUUUUUAGCCUGAUUCCAUCCACCCCCCACCGUAAACAAAUUACUUUACAGCCAAAGCGAGGCGAGUUGAGGGACUCUUCCAGCCCCCGAUCCCCAACCCUUGGCGCCCACUCAUGAGUCGGGGUUGAAGCUAGUUGGCUGCCUAGACGUGGGGUCCCUGUUUUGUCGUCGGUAUUCAUUAGCGUUACAACAGUUAACUAAACAAGAAUUGAUUUUAGACCAUACCAUUUACAUUAGCGGUGUAAACCCAUUACGUUUACGUUUAUGUUACACUUCUGAAACCAAACACCUCCUAUAUAUAACCACAAUAAAAUGGCCAAAGUAAGCGGCUUUAUCAUAUAUCCAUGUAGGAAAGAGAAGACGAAACCGACGUGUAAAUGGGGUCCCAAAUCGUUGGGCAAUUCGUGACGUUUGGUCUCUCCACCGCAUGUGCGCAAUUCGUGGCUUCGUUUUAAGCAUGGACAUAUUUGUGUGUCAGAAUGGGACAUCUUCCUACCAGCAUAGGGACAUGAUGGAUCAGAAUUAAUGGGGCACGGUGCACACACGCGUCCAGGCCGGGAUGGCACUGGAUGGAUAUCAGGGUCUCGCGUAUUCACACAUUUUCGGCACAGCCACAUACUGAUCUAUCAGGCAUAUUAUACCUAGCAGCCAGUACGUGCUGCGAGGCCGAUCUUGCUGGCUAUAAAAUGCCCCCGGUCAUUCCAGAGAGGGUGCACGGCAAUAUUGGGCAAGAUCAUAGAGAGAAGAACCAGCCAUGGACACCACCAAGAGGUGCAUUGCCACAGUCAUCGUGCUGAUGCUCUGCCUCCAGCUCCACACCUCCGCGGACGCCCGCCGCCUCUCCUCCGGCGGCGGCGAGAUCCGGCUUCCAAGCGACGGCAAAGGUUGGUGGCCGUGUUUGAAUGAAACGCAUGCCAUUGUUGUCCAAAAAUACUCUUGAUUUUUCAACUCCCACCGUUUUUAAAUAUAAGUAUUUUUAAGUACUUCUUUCGUACCUGAAUAAUUGUAGUUGGGAGUAUUACACUAAAGACUAUUUUUUCUAGUAUAAUUCUUCCCAACUACUAUUACUUAGGUACAAAAUUGGUACAUACGAAGCAAAAUAACUACUAUUAUUUAGGUUCAGAAUUGAUACAUACGAAGUAAAAUAAAUGAAUUUACAAUCUAAAAUAUGUCUAUAUACGUCUAUAUAUGAUCUGCAAUGGAACCUUUUAAAAAACUUAUAUUCAGAAACGAAUGGAGUAACUAAUAUGCCACGUGUGUAGACUAACCGUGUGCAUGAUUAACCUCAGAUGAUCCUACUGCUCAAGUCGGGGCGUCAAAGUUGAUCAAGAUAGACGACUCGUUCUAUACCAGCUGUCCGGACGGCAUGGUACUGGAGUGUAUACUCAUUGGAUUCGCCCCUUUUUGCAAGUGCGUGCCUAAAAAGGGUGCCGGCCUCACCGAUGGAUCCAUGCUUCCGAGCGACGGCAGAGGUUCGUGGCCGUGUUUGAAUGAAGGGAAAAUCUAACUAGCCGCGCCGUAUUUCAUGCUUACCGUGCGGCGGCUUGUCCUCAUGCGCGUAUCGCACGCACGACCAGUGAGCCAGCGCAACCGCACACUCCUCAACGCACUGUUGCUAUAGUACACCGCUACUUUCCACGGAAAACGUUCGUACUACCACAGAAUGUGUGAUCACUGUGCCCCAGAAAACAUCAGUGUUUGGCAAAGUACGCAUCGGCAUGGCUCUUUACAGUCAUCAUGUUUUUGCGGUAAGCAUGUUUAAUCCUUGCGACAGUGCUUUUUUCCAACAAAUCCACGUUGUUCUAUACAUCUCUAAAAUAUAAUGUUGACUAGUAAAUAAAUUCCAAUCUAAAAUAUACAACUAAGCACGAAACUAAGCUUCAAAAAUAGACAACUAAGUACUUGUAAUUUGGGCAACUAAAACAUAUUUAAUGACAACUAAGUAAUUUAAAUAUGACAACUAAAUAUGGUUAAAAUCUGGCAGCUAAGUCCGCAACCUAAAAUAUUCAUAUUGAAUACCAAGUACUUGUAAUCUGAUAAGUAUUUUAUAAUCUAGCAAAACAAGUACUAUUUGGUGGCUGCGCGUAAGCACCCCUGCAUCACAUGACGAGAUUUAUGAGACAACACGAUAAUUAGGUAGAAUUAAAAUAACAAGCUACUUAUUUUAAUCUGGAAACUAAGUAUUUUUCUAGCAUGGCAACUAAAAACUUUUUAAUCUGGAAACUAGGUAUUUUUGGCAACUAAGAACUCUUUAAUCUGAAAACAAGCUACUUUCUACAUGGCAAUUAAGAACUUUUUAAUCUGGAAAGUAGGUUUCUUUCUACCAUGGCAACUGAGAGCUUUUUAAUCUGAAACUUAGGUUUCUUUUCUACCAUGGCAACUGAGAACUUUUUAAUCUGAAACUUAGGUUUCUUUUCUACCAUGGCAACUAAGAACCUUUUUAAGCUGGAAACUACGUAUUUUUUCUAGCAUGGCAACUAAGACUUUUUAUCUAGAAACUACGUGCUUUUUCUAGCUUGGCGACUACGAACCUUUUAAGCUGGAAAUUAAGCGUUCUUCUAGCAUGGUAACUAAGUACUUCUAAGCAUUUUUUUUAGCAUGAUAACUAAGAAUGGGUAGUUUGGAGACUAAGCAUUUGCACGGUAAGUAAACACCUCUAAUCUGGAAACUAGGCACAUUUUAGCAUGUCAACUAAGCUCUUCUUGUAAUCUAGAAACUGAGCAAUUUUUAGCUUGGCAAUUAAUCACUUUUUCUUCCUUCAUUUUUUCACACUGACAGUGGUUAUAAGAUGCGUUGUCUAAUGAGAAAUUUGAUGUUUCUUUGGACAAAAGAAGCAGGUGCGAACGGUGAAAACGACAUGGCCAGUCUAGGAUAGAAUAAACGAGGAGCCAUGCAUGCAUGCGCUGUCAGCCUAGCAAGACGCGUACCAUACUUUUUCUCUGUUUGCAUGUGAGUAGCAUUUGGCUACCGGGCCGCCGCACGAGAACGCAAACAUGCGGCGCGUCCUUGAAUGAAACGCAUGCCAUUGUUGUUCAAAAAUACUCUUGAUUUUUCAACUCCCGCUGUUUUAAAUAUAAGUAUUUUUUUAAAUAUUUAUUCUGUAUCUAAAUAAUUGUAGUUGGAGAGGACUAGUUUUUUCCAACUAUAAUUCUCUAGGUACAGAGGGAGUAUUACGCUAAAGACUAUUUUUUCUAGUAUAAUUCUUCCCAACUACUAUUUUUUAGGUACAUAAAGGAUACAUAGAAAGCAAAAUAAACGAAUUUACACUCUAAAAUAUAUUUACAUAUGUCCAUAUAUGAUAUGUAAUGGAACCUUUUAAAAAACUUAUAUUUAGAAACGAAUGGAGUAACUAAUAUGCUACGUGGGUAGACUAACCGUGUGCAUGAUUAACCUCAGGUGAUCCUGCUGAUCAAGUCGGGGCGUCAAAGUUGAUCAACAUAGAGGACUCAUUCUAUACCCCCUGUCCGGACGGCAUGGUACAGAAGUGUAUAUUCGUUGGAACCACCCCUUUUUGCGGGUGCGUGCCUAAAAAGGGUGCCGGCCUCACUGAUGGAUCCAUGUCGUCGACGGCGAACAAGCCGGGGAACAAGGACUAGGACGAUGUCGACGUGGGCGCCGGUAACUAGCUAGCAUUUGCGCCCGUACGUGUGCCAUAUACCAUACGUCAAGCAAUGGUAAUAAGGUCCAGCACAUAUGGUAGCAUGGACACCCUUCCCGUCUUAUUGUACUACUAGCUUGUACACAUGUGCGUUUAUAUACAUGUUGUAUUUUUUAGCUCCUGUGUAUGCAUGCUUUUAUACACACAGAUGUACGGAGUAGGAUAUAACCUCCGUUUUAUAUUACUUAUAAUGGAAUAAUGGUUAAUUACUACGCACGGCCACCCUUUUUUAGCCAGUCACUCCAUUGAUUUCAUUCCAUGUCAUCGUCUGCCGACGGAACAACCUCCGUUGGCAUAGUUUGUUUGCUAAAGAAAAAUGCAGAACAAAUACAGCAUGCCAACGUCCCCAAAGUUCGCUCUCAACGAUGCAGAACAUACGAGCCGUUCCAUGUGAAAUUUCUACGGUAUUUAUCCUUCCAACUUAUGAAACAGACGUUGCAUAUCUUGGCAGCAUAAACUCGAACACAAACACAAAACCAUAAGCCACCCACCGCGCACACACCCUGCAGCUACAGAACGACAGCAAGAGUGAAGUCAACUGAACUGGAAACUAUAUAUUUUUUCACCUCACCAAUGAGAGUAAAAUCACUUCAACUGUUAACAGUCCAGUACAUCGGCAAGGCACGCACGAUACAACAACAUGAAUGAUAUCGCCCAGAUUUCUGGCAAUAAUUCCCCUACCAAGAUCACACAAACCUGAUACAUGAAGAACGAACCACGAUUUCCAAAAAUUAGACAGCACCUGCCAGCCACGUCGCCAGCCCCAUCGUCGUUUCUUCUAGGGAAGCAGGGCAGCUCAAGGCAGAUUACAAACAUCAUCAGACUACCAGAGACAGAGAGAGAGUCACUGGCUGGGACUCUGUCGGAAAACUGUACACUGACCAGAGGCAAGAAUCAACGGGAGGCGAAUCGGCGAAUGGCAUUCCCCCCAGCCUCUGUCUCAAGUCUAAAAAAACCGAAGCUAACAGUUGGUCUAACGCUAGUUUAUCAAAUCAAUGGAGAGGCGGCCGCCCAUGCUCGCUGAAGCUGCCUCUUGACCAGUGAGACGGGGAGAGCUUCCUGAUUUGCAGAGGGGCUGAUCUACUCUGGGGUGCUCGUUUUUGUACACGGGCGCCUGUCAACGCUACCGAGUAAGGGUCACCUUCGCGCUCCUGCCUCGCUUCUAUUCGGCCAGAGCUGUACUCCAUGUUUAUGAACGGUGAGGGAUUCCGGUAGUCUAGGCACCCGGAAGCCCCGCUGUUCCACCAGCUACCGCUACCACUGUCAAAGACAAAGCCGCCCUGGAGGUCGUCGUCCGGGUCACAUGAUGAUUCCCUGUGGCUGUAGGAAUCGCCGACGGCCUCCUCCGCGUCAUUGUAAAUCAGCUUCAGUGCCUGGACUACUUCACCCAUGAAUGGCCUCUGUGAUGGAUCACUGUGAACGCACACCGAAGCGAUGGAUGCCACUUUGGCUACGUUGUCGAAAUUGUAGUUGCCAUUCAUAGAAGGGUCGAUCAACCUCUCCAAACCCUCCUUAUUGCCUAGAAGAGGACGAGCCCAAGUAACAAGGUUCUCAGGAUCCAUGUUGUCGGACAUGCCUACGGGCUUCCUUCCUGAUAAAAGCUCCAGCAACACAACCCCAUAACUGUAGACAUCGCUCUUGACAAGAAGAUGCCCUGUCAUGGCAUACUCUGGAGCAACAUACCUGCAUGAUCAAUAGAGAAAUUUUACCUUUUGAAAGCCAAGGAUAAUUAGAAUAUAAUUAAGACAAGCUACUCUUGAGCAAAUUUAUGUACCGAAAUUCAUAUAGCUUUAGAGAAGUGUAAUUCGUGAACAAUCCUACCAAACAUUAUUUAUGGAAGGCAGUAUUAAUCACAAAGAGACAAAUCAUUCGAUCACAGCGUCACAAAAUACCCAAAUAAAGUGCUAUAUAAUCAUUUGUUUUUAUUAAUAAUGUGUAUUGACGAUAUUAUAGGGGCUGGACACAAGCGAAGUUUCUUACCCGAAAGUCCCCAUUACCCUCGUGGAAAUGGGAUUGAUUCCAUUGGUUGCUUCCCUUGCUAAACCAAAAUCAGUAACCUUUGGAGUGAAAUCUUCCUCCAGCAAUAUAUUGCUACCUUUGAAGUCCCGGUGUAUAACAUGAGGGUUUGAAUCUUCAUGUAGGUACGCCAAGCCUCUAGCAGCACCCAAAGCAAUUUUCAUCCUGACAUCCCAGUUCAGCAUGCCCUUAUCCUUAUCAGCACCUAGGCAUACAAAAGAUCAGAUUAACACAAAGAGUCAGCUAAGUCCACACACUCCUAAUCCUGGCUUACAUGUGACAGCGAUAAUUAUGAAGCCAAUUUUGUUUUCUAAGGCAGUGCACUGCUUUCUUUGAGGCAUAUCACUGGAGAAGUUCAGGUGCUAGAUUAGUAACGCUGGUUGAUCUUGUUUCAUCCAUGUAAUUCUCUUCAGCCAUAUCACUAGUGAGAUGCCUUUUGGUAUUCCAUGGAGCCCGGAUUUUCAUAAAGCAAAAAUGGUAUAUUUCAAAGUUUUAAUAAAAUGAAAAUUUUCUACGAGUACAUAUGGAUGUUCUCUGUGUACCUGUAAAAUUUCAUUAAAUAACCCGAUAUAUUGUACACUGCCCAAAAAAGACAAAAAUCCGGAUUAAAAACUAAAAAAUACAAGCCCAUUUUGUUCAUGUAUUUGUCUUUUUUGUAUACAUCACAAACAAAUAUGUAUAUUGAUAAAAAAUAGUAGAGAUACACUCCACAUCUAUAUAUACACUGACAAAAAAACAAACAGAUUUUUUUGGGCUAUAAAAGUUAUAAUAUUUUUUAACUUCUCUUCAUCGUCCUCCCUGGAACCCGUCCUCCAAAGCGAUUUUCUGAACUUUGAAGUACUAUAACUAGAAUAGCAGCUGGUCCUACCAAUCUAUGCUUAGGGAAAAGAAAAUUUGGACCAGCCUCGUCUAGUCAUUCUAUUACAAGAAACUUGAACACUUGGUUAAAUAUUUCCAUUUUGGCUGCUAUGCCUUAAUAUGUACGAAUUUCAUGUCAUUACUUCAAUAGUUAAGACUUGCCAAACAUAGCAUGUGUUACUAAUAUUUAGAACAUACCAUGGAGAUGGGAUUCCACACUUCCAUUUCGUAUAAGCUCGUAAACAAGACACCUUUUUGCACGUUCGGUGCAAAUGCCAAUCAAUUUGACAAGAUUACGAUGGUGCAAUCGACUGAGCAUUUCCACCUCCGCAAUGAACUCGCGGUCACCACUCCUGUCCUCUCUUGUCAGCAUUUUAACAGCAAUCUCGUUUCCAUCAUCCAUGGUCCCAUGAUAAACACGUCCAAACCCACCUUGACCCAAAACUCUUCUUGAACUAAAACCAUCAGUGGCCUUUUCAAGCUGUGCAAGCGAAAAUGUCUUUACCGAUGCUGCACAUGUGGCCACUGUUGAGAGCAUUGACGCUGAUACAGAGCUCACCAUGCUAGUUGACUGAGAUCUGCCACCUGUGUACCACAAAUUAAGUUGUUAGCAUAACUGCCAUUACUAGCAAUUUUUUGUUGUUAUAUAAACGGGGGGUUAUGGUUUUCAAAAGUUCAUGUCGCAUGCAUACAAAGUGACAUUCUUCUUUCGCAAUAGGGGGUAACUAACAAAUAUUAAAAUGGUUAUUUCCAGGCAGCAUUACAUAAGCACAUAGUAUAUGAGAACUCUAGACAAAUUUUUUUUUUUACUAAUUUUGGAUUUAGGCAAAUUUAUAGACAGAACUGCCCAAUUGUUCUGCCUCACUGAUAAGUGCAACUCUGAUUACCAAUAUCUAUGUGGUAAUAGAAAGGGGAAAUAUUAUCCACCGGCAGUGGCGUAGCUGGGGGGGGGGGGGUCCAUGGACCACCCUGAAAUUUAUCUACAGCCUAUAUAUUAUAGCAAAAAAUGAGUAAAAUUUAAUGUGGGUAAUUAAAUACAAAUGGAAGUUUUACUAUUGGACCACCCUGGAUUAUUGAGCUGGCUACGCUACUGUCCACCGGUACAUAAUAUAAAGAUCUCUAUUGCCCACAUGAAGAUGAUCUUAACGUGGUUAAAGGGAGAAGUUCCCUCCCUUAAGGCCUAGUUCGGUUAAUCCUUUCCUGCGGGGAUUGGAGGGGAUUUGCAGGGAUUUUGGCUUGUAGGGGAUUUAAUCCCCCUCAAUCCCCUUCAAAUCCACCUCAACUGAACAAGCCCUAAAUGUACGUUGUCAUGUAGAAACGAGGAACCCUGCAGAGGUUGUGCCUCGAACGCGGGUGGGGUGAGCUCACGGGUGUAUGUGCCUAACCAACCGGACACUACUUGGUUCUCAAGAUGAUCGUAACAGAUUCUUGUAUAAAGCCAUCAAAUGUCCGUGUGUUGCUACAGUGGUAAAAAAACUUAUACUGUAUAUUUAGGGAUGCCUUUAAUUUUACCAUCUUGUGCCAUAUCAAGUCAUUCAUAUCCGCCCCUAACAAGUUGUGCCAAAUCCAACAUGUAAUGUAACCCAAAGGUGAACAGACCGUCACCACAAUUGGCGGCAUAUUUAUGGGAGUAUAGAUACUUUACAUAGUAUCAUGUUUUUUAUGCUUUUAAGUUUUAACUAGCCUAUUUUUGUAAGAAAAAUGAUCAAGGUUGUAUCCAGAAGACCAUCUAAAACAAAAGAAUCAGGAACAAUGCUUUCUUCACUCUUUGGUAACGGGUGUACGUAGGUAAAUUUGAUCUAUCAGGGAAAUAAUUGAAAUAUCAUUUGUGCACAGCCAGCAAGAACCAUCUAUUAAAGGAUUCUAACAUUGCCCAUCAGGUUUUAAAAUAUUUGUACAAUGGUAAAAGUAGUAAUAACAGUAAUAAAUGGCAUACUUAACGACAACAAAAGCUGUCGAUUUUACCAUGUCUUCUUUUAACUGACGGGGUGAUCACAGGGUUCCCAGCCUCAUGAAAACGCUUAAGUUUCUUCCAUUUGACUAUUAAGAUAAUGAGCCCAAUGCAUGCCACAAUUAGUACCAGAGAGGACCCUGCAACUACCACGAUGAUCCAGCUAUCUAAUUUCUUAUUUUGAUGGUGCACAUCUGCGGUUAUAGGAUAUUCUCCAUUUCCUGGAGGACCUGACGUAAGAGAUGACAUAGCUGGUGGUGCAGGUCCCAGCCCUGCAGUGAUAACAUUGCACAUAUAAAUCAUAAAUUCAAGUAACUCACCUAAGAAGCAAAUACUCCACAUAAAUGUUUCUUACCUGGAUAGGUAAUGUUUAUAACCUCGUAAGCUCCAAAAACAGAUGAAUUAAUCUGAACCUUUUUAUUCCAGAACCUAUCCGAUAUUAGGGAUGCAGUAUAGCUAUCAAAAUGCUCUCUUAGUGGCACCAAAUAAAAGGUGACUCUUGUCUUCUGGUCAUCUUCGAUACUUGGAAUAGCAGCCAUAAUCUUCACUUGGCUCUGUUUAAGAAAUGUGCCAGCUGCAACUUCAACUUCCAAUUCUGCCGUGUGCAUGAAUAGUAAAUAUGGAGCUACAGCAAUGUCAACAAUAACACUAAGGGGCAGCACACAGCCACAGGGGGAACCAAUCGGUGUUGAACUCAUGGGCUCGGGGCAAACAGUGCUAGAGCAACCUGCUGAAGGUACAAAAGAAAACUAUUCAACACAAAAAUUUACAACAAAGCAAACAAGCUUAUACUUAGAUCAACAAUUAGUCUGCAUGUCAACAGAAGCAGUACUAAGAAGAAUAGUCCACAGAGGGAUGGAUAAUAUCGGGGAUUAGGUGAAGUAACUCAAGGAUGCAGUAUGAAAUUGUAAACAUAAAUGGCAAACCUUCAGGUGGGAGAGAUAGGGAUGGCGGAGGGGCAUGGUGUGGUCGUCUGUGGUGUUUGUGUGAAUGGACAGCGAUACCUGUAAGAAUAGCAGAUAUUAAAUAACAAAUAGUUUAUUGAAAACUUUAAGCAUGAACUUUUAGCACCGACGUUGUCACGGUUACAUACCAGGAGAUCUUGGAGACAGUACCCCAGGAGAAAAUGCCGGGGAAAUUCGAGGUCCAAACACUCUUGUUUCAGGGGGAUUUGACGGAUGUGGCGCUGGGCUAGGCUGUAUGUUUGCUGGAGAACGGAAGGUAUUAAGUUCACAUUUGACAGAAACGAAUUGCAAAAUCUGAUAAGAGAAAAACCUCUACCUACCAUAUGGCUAGCAUCGUGUUCAGAUUAACAUAUACAGUUUCAAAUGGUUACUUCAAGAAAGCUCAGGCGCACUGUACAAUCAUACAUUUCCAUUUGCGGCCUAUAUAGCCAAUGCCCGUUGGCAGUUUCUGUUUCUAAAAUAAGAGUGUAUGAACUGGAAAGAUAAUAAACCAUUUUCUAGAAGUUUUGUUCUGCGUCUGUAAAUGUUUGAAUUCUGCAUAUAUUCUCAAUUUAUCAUACUUGUGUUUCAAAAUUUUACAUCACAGUGACACUUUUUAUUCCUCGUACAUGGAAACAAAACAUGAAAUGUUUUCUCAGCGCAUGCUGCCGUGCCAUGCAUUUUUUGGAGUUUGGUGAAAGUUAGCAUUUCACUCAAGUUCUAGCGGUUGGUUAGGAGGCACUGGCGUGGGUGAGUUGUGUGUGUAUGGUGGUGUCGCUGGUGUGUGUUCACGUGUGCGUCAUCCUUGUAAUCGCCAAAAAAAUGGCCUCAUGGUCAAGCUAAGAGCACGAGAGACACCAAGUGCAUUAACUACUCCAGAAAGUAACGGCGUUAGUAAUGAACUCUGAGAAUGGCUGCCAAAUUUGUACCCGAACGUGUCCGAUACGUUUUGGCAGAUAUCAGAACGUAUCCAACUAUUCAGGCGUAUCUAACCCCUGAUACGCUAGUUUCCUGCCGUAUCCAUGCAACUUAGCUGCCAAUCAAGAGGGGCCAUCAUACUACACUCAGGUUUUGUCGAUAGUGUCACCGGGGUGGAAGAAUACAACUAUAAAAGGUGGUACCACAGAUUUAGUUAAGAGAAGACCGUCAAGCAUUACUUGCAAGCAAAGCAAGUGUUGGCUGAGUGUUGAGAGACGAUACUACAGGUCGGAUUUGAACUACUUAUAGGCGCGCCUUUCUACCUUAAGGUUUUGUGCCAUGGUCUCUUGGCUGGUUGUGUCACACAGAUGGGCACGCCCCUGUUUUACGCUCACUACAAACAAACGCAAAUUAGACUCUAACAUGCAUUUCCAAUGUUAAUGGAGCACUCCAACAGCAGUGGGAGCACAAACUGUCCACCAGUCCCAUCCCAUCCAUGCCUCCUUGGCACAAGGAACAAGCAGUGGCAGCCAUUGUCACCUGUUACUUUCAGGCAUGAGAAAACAAUGGCAGGCUAAAACCACCUUCCCUCUCACAGAAAAAUAAUGGCAGGCUAAAACACACAGCUCCAGACUCAUGUACCCAGCUCGCCCACACCUUGCUGGAUCCUUCCCCGGGUAGUCAAAACCAUCGACCAUGGCAGAAUCUAGAAAUAACACUGUCCAGAAUACCCUCUGUCCUCUGAUAGACAGCAGAAUUCCCCUAAUAAUAGACGGCGCUCGCACACGGACCGACAGAACCCCCACCCGAACCCCAAUUCCCAGCUUCCCCCAAUCGCCCAGAGCACGCGACAGCAACGUCGCAUCUUGCUGCUGCUUCUGCUGCUGCUAUGUCCGUCGUCCACUCCACAGGCUAGUGACGAGGAGCUGGAAUUCGCACCGAAAAUGCCGCCCCCACGGGCGCAAGCAGCCCCACGCCCUCCCUCCCUCCCUCCCUCCAAACCCCACCCCACCCAACCCAACCCGGAGNNNNNNNNNNNNNNNNNNNNNNNNNNNNNNNNNNNNNNNNNNNNNNNNNNNNNNNNNNNNNNNNNNNNNNNNNNNNNNNNNNNNNNNNNNNNNNNNNNNNCUCGAUCGGCUCGGCCUCAGGCGCGCGUGCGGUGAGGAGUGGCGGUGUGUGUGGCGCGGAGGAGGCUGCUCCUCCUCUCGUAGUGGGGCUGGGAGGAUGUGGUGGACACCGGUGGGUUUGGUUGGUUGCCUCUCGUCGCGCCAACGAGGAGCGGACAUGUCACGCUCACACCAGACAAGUGGCUCCCGAUGUGGCCGCGGCUGGGCUUCUCAAGCAGUCAAGCUCGUGACGGCGACUUCCGGCACGACUCACGAAGACGUGGCGGUGAGCCGGACCGUCAAGCAGCUGCUCCGGUAGCGCCGCACAUGGAGCCCUGCGGUGCUCGGGUCCAUGAACGGCAACCGGCAGCCGUUGCUUUAUUUGCUACUUGCUCCAGUGAUUGAGCACAUAAGCAGAUUAAUCUUCCAUCAGCACUUGCACUUCUAGCAGUGAUUUUACUCCUGUUUUAGACUAUAACCAAUACUUAUAUUUCAGUAUUGUUUUCUGUUGAGUACCAAUGUAUUCGAGAUCUUAAGUUGAUGUAAUAUGUUUCCACGUUUAUCACGUGUCGAGAUUAAUUACGUCCAUUUGCAAUUGAGAUUUUUAAUCUCUUGCAAAGAUAAAUUCAGUACAUCUACAGUACUGAUUUGCGAUUGAAAAUUUUAUUCUUCCGCAAAACAAUCUCAUUGUGGUUGAGAUUAAUCUCUCUCGCGAAACAUAUUAAUUCACCAUGGUUAAUUAUCUUGCAAUUUGAUACAAGAUCAUCUCAUUUAAUAUGAAGUCUAUACAAUUCAAGUUUUUCACUUGAUCAUCAAGUUUGCAACAUCAUUACUAUUCAUUACAAUAGUAGUGUAUAUCUGUAGAGUACAUUGUAUUCCAGAAUAAAUUGUGAUGUAAUAAAUUUCCAUGUUAUUCUAUAUGUCGAGAUUAUUUACAUCUGUUAUUUGCAAUUGAGAUAUUCAAUUUCUUGCAAAUAAAAAUCAAUUCAUUUUAAUUGAGCCAUUGGCUUGAUACGAGCAAGAAUUGAUAUCCAAAUUCUUAGUGUUGUUUUUCAAAUUGAUAUUUUGAGAAUCACAAGGUAGUGUGUAGAUCUACCGCUUUGCAGAUCAUCACCACUACUAUUAAAGCCUGCAUUUUGUCACUUUGACAAUAUGAUUGCUUUACAAAAUGUCCUCCCCACAUAUUUCACUAAGUCAUGACAUAAGGCAUUACGAGUGAGUAUAUACUGAUUUCAUCGGAUUAUACUCCCUAGUGCUGCGAGAUCCACUCCAUUUUGAAGAUUAUCUUCAAAGUGUCAUACUUAGCAAUUUGAGAUUCACGUUAAUGGUCUCAAGAUAACUUCUUGAAAUACUCAUUAAUUUUGCUAAGCUCACUACAACAUUAACCAUGGUAGUCUUUAAUUUACUAACCGUAAAUUAAUUAUCUCUCGUAACUGAUGGCUAGAGAAUUUGAGGCAUUCGCGCCUCAAUAGCCACCACUGCCUUUCCAUGGGCCAAGGAAAUUAUGAUCACUCUUGAGUCUCGUGGGAUAAUGUGUGAAAUCCAAAACUGUAAGAUUUAUCUAUGGUCAGGAUCACACCGCUAACAGAAAAAUGUUGUCUUAUACAUAAUAAGGCGUUAUAUUGGUUCAGGUCUUAGCAUCUGGUUAUUCCGUAUCAACAAUUCCUGGGCACAAUGAACCUCAAGGGCAAAGGCUUGAAGCUCACUUCAACCUUCAACCUGACAUCACUAAUGAUGACGGAUCCUAUGUGCAUGGAGAAUGUGUGGUUCAUUAUGCCUCAACCGACAUGUUUGGAGAUUAUGAGUAGUCUCUCAAUCUCAAUGUACAAAUACAUUUGUAUGUAUUCUAUAUAUCCGACAGUGAAUUUUUGAGAAUCAUCAUGCCUAUAUAUAGAUUUCUACGAGGGUCAAUCUGAUGAAAGAUGAAUUGUGCAUUAUGGACAUAUGCGCCACGGACUCUAUACUCAGGAAAGUCCAAUGUUUUCACUCUCGUUGAGAGAAAGGAGAUAUUUUAAAAUCGCUAGACGUGAUGAGGUAUUUGUUGGCUCAACUUGAGUCAUAUUUACUAUCCCUGUGGGUACUCGAGUAACGUCGGGAUGCUUUAUUGCUUCCCAGAUUUAACUCGUACCCUACUAAACUAUAGAGGUAUCCGUCAAAAUAGUUCCCAUAGCGAAACUUAUGAUGACAGCAACGAAUAUGGCAGGCAAAUUUUUUAUGUAUCAUCUGAAUUGUACUACACAUACGACACAACCCGUAGCACAUGUUGCGUAUGAGAUAGUUUUCCAGAGUAUCUUGUACAUGACAAACUUGGCAUUCUCGCCUUGGUCAUCGAGAUAUUGGGUUGAAAGCGAAAGUAUCACCAAUUCCAAUAGUUUAUGAUUAUUAUGAUGCUAAAUUCUAACAGUAUUUGGAUUUUGUGUGCACUACAUGUGACACAAGGAAGCUAAUUUUAAGGCUCGCGCACCUUAAAGUCUAUGCUGAACCACUCAGACUCCUUGAAUGCAUCAAGUCGAGGUAAGUGGCUCUUCCCAUCCAUUGACUAGACCAUUUAGGUAUUCCAUGGUUCUAAAAGCCAUAUCUAUAUGAUUGUCUCAAGUGUGAUUUAUUCACAUGAAACCAUUGGUGAUGGGAAACGUCGCAUGGGAAACAAAAAAAAAAUUCCUACGCGCACGAAGACCUAUCAUGGUGAUGUUCGACUACGAGAGGGGAUUUCCGAUCUACGUACCCUUGUAGAUCGCACAGCAGAAGCGUUAGUGAACGCGGUUGAUGUAGUGGAACGUCCUCACGUCCCUCGAUCCGCCCCGCAAACCGUCCCACGAACCGUCCCGCGAUCCGUCCCACGAUCUAGUGCCGAACGGAUGGCACCUCCGCGUUCAGCACACGUACAGCUCGACGAUGAUCUCGGCCUUCUUGAUCCAGCAAGAGAGACGGAGAGGNNNNNNNNNNUGAGUUCUCCGACAGCGUGACGGCGCUCCGGAGGUUGGUGGUGAUCUGAUCUCGGCAGGGCUCCGCCCGAGCUCCGCAGAAACGCGAUCUAGAGGUAAAACCGUGGAAGUAUGUGGUCGGGCUGCCUUUGAAAAGUUGUCUCAAAUCAGCCCUAAUUGCUCCAUAUAUAUAGGAGGAGGGAGGGGAGGCUUGCCUUGAGGCUCAAGGAGCCCCAAGGGCUGCGCACCAAGGGGAGGAGGAGUCCUCCUCCAAUCCUAGUCCAACUAGGAUUGGAAAGUGGAGUCCUUCUCUCCUUUCCCACCUCCUUUUUUUUCUUUCUCUUUGAUUUUCUAUCCUUCGCGCAUAGGGUCCUCUUGGGCUGCCCCACCAGCCCACCAAGGGCUGGUGCGCCACUCCCAAGGCCUAUGGGCUUCCCCGGGGUGGGUUGCCCCCCCGGUGAACACCCGGAACCCAUUCGUCAUUCCCGGUAACUCCGAAAACCUUCCGGUAAUCAAAUGAGGUCAUCCUAUAUAUCAAUCUUCGUUUCCGGACCAUUCUGGAAACCCUCGUGACGUCCGUGAUCUCAUCCGGGACUCCGAACAACAUUCGGUAACCAACCAUAUAACUCAAAUACGCAUAAAACAACGUCGAACCUUAAGUGUGCAGAACCUGCGGGUUCGAGAACUAUGUAUACAUGACCCGAGUGACUCCUCGGUCAAUAUCCAAUAGCGGGACCUGGAUGCCCAUAUUGGAUCCUACAUAUUCUACGAAGAUCUUAUCGUUUGAACCUCAGUGCCAAGGAUUCGUAUAAUCCCGUACGCCAUUCCCUUUGUCCUUCGGUAUGUUACUUGCCCGAGAUUCGAUCGUCAGUAUCCGCAUACCUAUUUCAAUCUCGUUUACCAGCAAGUCUCUUUACUCGUUCCGUAAUACAAGAUCCCGCAACUUACACUAAGUUACAUUGCUUGCAAGGCUUGUGUGUGAUGUUGUAUCACCGAGUGGGCCCCGAGAUACCUCUCCAUCACACGGAGUGACAAAUCCCAGUCUUGAUCCAUACUAACUCAACUAACACCUUCGGAGAUACCUGUAGAGCAUCUUUAUAGUCACCCAGUUAUGUUGCGACGUUUGAUACACACAAAGCAUUCCUCCGGUGUCAGUGAGUUAUAUGAUCUCAUGGUCAUAGGAACAAAUACUUGACACGCAGAAAACAGUAGCAACAAAAUGACACGAUCAACAUGCUACGUCUAUUAGUUUGGGUCUAGUCCAUCACGUGAUUCUUCUAAUGACGUGAUCCAGUUAUCAAGCAACAACACCUUGUAUAUAAUCAGAAGACCCUGACUAUCUUUGAUGAACUGGCUAGCCAACUAGGGGCUUGCUAGGGAUAGUGUUUUGUCUAUGUAUCCACACAUGUAUAUAAGUCUUCAUUCAAUACAAUUAUAGCAUGGAUAAUAAACGAUUAUCUUGAUACAGGAAUUAUAAUAAUAACUAUAUUUAUUAUUGCCUCUAGGGCAUAAUUCCAACAGUCUCCCACUUGCACUAGAGUCAAUAAUCUAGCCCUCACAUCACCAUGUGAAUUACAUUGUAAUAAAUCUAACACCCAUACAGUUCUGGUGUCGAUCAUGUUUUGGCCGUGGGAGAGGUUUAGUCAGCGGGUCUCCUACAUUCAGAUCCGUGUGCACUUUGCAUAUAUUUACGUCCUCUUCCUCGACGUAGUCGCGGAUGAGGUUGAAGCGUCGUUUGAUGUGUCUGGUCUUCUUGUGAAACCGUGGUUCCUUUUCUAAGGCAAUGGCACCCGUGUUGUCACAGAACAAGGUUAUUGGAUUCAGUGCGCUUGGCACCACUCCAAGAUCCGUCAUGAACUGCUUCAUCCAGACACCCUCCUUAGCCGCCUCCGACGCAGCCAUGUACUCCGCUUCACAUGUAGAAUCAGCUACGACGCUUUGCUUGGAACUGCACCAGCUUACAGCACCCCCAUUAAGAAUAAAUACGUAUCCGGUCUGCGACUUAGAGUCGUCCGGAUCUGUGUCAAAGCUUGCAUCGACGUAACCCUUUACGGCGAGCUCUUCGUCACCUCCACACACGAGAAACAUCUCCUUAGUCCUUUUCAGGUACUUCAGGAUAUUCUUAACCGCCGUCCAGUGAUUCACUCCUGGAUUACUCUGGAACUUGCCUGCCAUACUUAUGGCCAGGCUAACGUCCGGUCUAGUGCACAACAUUGCAUACGUGAUAGAUCCUAUGGCUGAAGCAUAGGGGACGGUGCUCAUAUGCUCUCUAUCUUUAUCAGUUGCUGGGCACUGAGUCUUACUCAAUCUCGUACCUUGUAAAACUGGAAAGAACCCUUUCUUGGACUGUUCCAUUUUGAACCUUUUCAAAACUUUAUCAAGGUAUGUGCUUUGUGAAAGUCCUAUCAGGCGUUUCGAUCUAUCCCUGUAGAUCUUAAUGCCUAGAAUGUAAGCAGCUUCUCCUAGGUCCUUCAUAGAGAAACUUUUAUUCAAGUAAUCCUUUACGCUCUCCAAAAACUCUACAUUGUUUCCAAUCAGCAAUAUGUCAUCUACAUAUAAUAUCAGAAACGCCACAGAGCUCCCACUCACUUUCUUGUAAAUACAAGAUUCUCCAACCACUUGUAUAAACCCAAAUGCUUUGAUCACCUCAUCAAAGCGUUUGUUCCAACUCCAAGAUGCUUGCACCAGUCCAUAAAUGGAUCGCUGGAGCUUGCACACCUUGUUAGCAUUCUUAGGAUCGACAAAACCUUUGGGUUGCAUCAUAUACAACUCUUCCUUAAGGAAACCGUUAAGGAACGCCGUUUUGACAUCCAUCUGCCAGAUUUCAUAAUCGAAAAAUGCAGCUAUUGCUAACAUGAUUCUGACGGACUUAAGCAUCGCUACGGGUGAGAAUGUCUCAUCGUUGUCAACUCCUUGAACUUGUGAAAAACCUUUUGCCACAAGUCGAGCUUUAUAAACGGUCACAUUGCCGUCAGCGUCCGUCUUCUUCUUAAAGAUCCAUUUGUUCUGAAUAGCCUUGCGGCCCUCAGGUAGUACUUCCAAAGCCCACACUUUGUUUUCAUACAUGGAUCCUAUCUCGGACUUCAUGGCCUCCAGCCAUUUGUUGGAAUCUGGGCCCACCAUUUCUUCUUCAUAAUUUGCAGGUUCAUUGUUGUCUAACAACAUGAUUGACAAAACGGGAUUACGGUACCACUCUGGAGCAGCACGUGGUCUCGUCGACCUGCGUGGUUCGAUAGGAACUUGAACCGGAGUUUCAUGAUCAUCAUCAUUAACUUCCUCCUCAACCGGCGUCGCAACAACAGGGGUUUCCCCUUGCCCUGCGCCACCAUCCAGAGGGAUGAGAGGUUCGACAACCUCAUCAAGUUCUAUCUUCCUCCCACUCAAUUCUCUCGAGAGAAACUCCUUCUCGAGAAAAGCUCCGUUUUUAGCAACAAACACUUUGCCCUCGGAUUUGAGAUAGAAGGUGUACCCAACUGUCUCUUUUGGGUAACCUAUGAAGAUGCACCUUUCCGCUUUGGGUUCCAUCUUUUNNNNNNNNNNNNNNNNNNNNNNNNNNNNNNNNNNNNNNNNNNNNNNNNNNNNNNNNNNNNNNNNNNNNNNNNNNNNNNNNNNNNNNNNNNNNNNNNNNNNAAUGACUUAGGGUUUGUCCUUCCUGAUUGAAAUUAAAAACAGAAAAUGACUUAGGGUUUGUCCUUCCUGAUUGAAAUUAAAAACAGAAAGUAGAUGCUGCUGCCUCCAGGCCCAUCAUUUAUUUGGUUUUGCUGCUGCUCUACAUGUUCCUUUCUUAAUACUUUCAUGUAACGUGCUUACAUGGACAGCAGAAAACAGAUUAGAUCAUAGAUAGGAUUAGGAGGAAGGAACCAUGGACAAGUGGACAACUAGAGGUGAAUCGGGAAGAGGAAGAAAAGAUGGGGUCGCUGCGUACAAACUGUUCGGCAAGGAAGAGUUGGACCAAGCGGCGGUCGAUGAACUAAUUUGCCUCAUGAAUCGAAGUAUACGAUCGAACUGUCGGCGUAGGCCAAAAGUUAGGGUUCGCAACGAUACGACGAGGUCUCAGGUUGUGGGAAUGAAUCCAUUGUGUUCGCUAAUCGCCUAGAAUAGAACGAUCUCCGGCUCAUGAGGUAUCAAUCGCGUCCCCAACACAGGCACAUAGUUGGACCAGUCAGCGCAGGCCUAGGUCGGGGCCCCUUAGACUUCAGGGGGCCCGGGGCGGCCGCCCCUCCCGCCCCCUGAGGGCCGGGCCUAUCCGCUAGGCGAACGAACGAUCCAAACGAACAAAAUUCAAAUAAAAUUCAUAUACGUUUAAAUCUUCCCGUUGGAGUUAUCCUUACGGGCGGGUAGCUAGGGUGCAAACAUACACGACAGUAAUCCAUGGCUGUGACCCACUCCUGGACGAGGCACAAGGAGCAGGCGUGAAUCGGGACCCAUUGCUCUCGACCGACGCGACGGAUAUGCACACACACUCGCACCUAGUAAAAAACAUGUUCCCAGCUCGUAGGCAUGCAUGCAGUUGCCUCCUGCUCUCCUGCUGCAGCGAAGCAACCAACCCAACCCUGUGUCCCUCUCUGCUGCACGCACGCAGCAUGGCCCUGCCUUGUUUAUUGCGACGUGAAGGCGAGCACUGGAGAGUGGAGUCGAGCCAGCCACAAGCCAAAGCGAAGCGAUGCACGCCGCGGAGCGCCACCGGGUAGCAGCCACGCACAACCCGACGCGGCCUCCGCGUUCCCGGCGCGGAGACGCGAGGCGGCGGCCUGGCCUCUCGUGUGUGCUGUGUUGCUUCGGGCGGAAGGCUUUCAAGUUGGCGGCGCCGCGGCAUGGGCACGUGCCCGAGUCCGGUUUCGCUUCCGCUCCGCCAGCCCACUGCUCCGUUGGGUUCCUACUUCCUAGCGAGGUCGACCGAUCGCGAUGGCCGUCGACGUCCAUCGCCACCACACACAAACGUUUGUACGGCCCGGCGCCCGGCGGGCUGACGUUCCCAUGCAAGGCCGACGUGCCGCGCGCCUGCCGACCACGUCUUCUUUUCAACGCGGCGCGUCGGCAUCGCAGCUGCAGCGCGUACCGCGUACUGUGAUGCCACUGGGGUUUAGGGGGGAGGCAGGCUUUAUCCAUUUCGGCCACUACGGGAUAUUCCUUGCAUUUGUUUACUUUGUAAGCAAUUCUAAAUGAAAGGGAAAAAAAAUUGCAAAAAUGAUUGCGCGCAACACUACGUGCACUAAUGUCAUGAUGAUGCAACUAAUGCCCGUAGACAAGAUUUCGUAACCAGACAAUUUCUAUUACUACUAAAAAUCUGUCAAGGUACACUUCAAAAAAAGUAUCUGUCAAGGUAACUCAAUCCUUAUUUUUUCUCUACUCAUGGCUUACUGUAAACCAAAUAUUCCUUGGCUUAACUACCCCUCGAAUUAUUAAGAAACAAACUGUUUACAUGCCUGCUAAUAGUAGUAGCCAGAUCAACGUUUUCUCACCAGUUUUAGUUGUACGAAUUUUGAUGCCUGGUUGAAGGUUCACAUCACUUACUUAAAGAUAGUGAUUUCUCUGCCACUCGAGCUAUAAAACCUUUACAUUUGCAUUAUGUUAUGUUGUCUAUUUCCUUUUCUCGACCAAUUUCUUCACAUGAUUUUUCUCGAAUUUAUCCGACCCACGAUCCAACCUUGGCUUCUAACUCCCGCGACGCCUCUUCCCUUGGUUUUGACACCAUCAUCCUCCCGCCACAGAGGUGUCUCCUGGUCACAAACUUGUCCGCUCCACUAAGAAUUAGUCAACGUCGUCAUUUGCCGACAUGGUUUGCGGCCUGCAUUUUUCGACUUGAAAUCUGCACUCAAUGUUCAUCUAGAUCGGUAUUUUGAUUGGAAUAGUGUUAAUAACUUUCUCUUCUACCAACGGUAGUCACCAGUUCAAUUCGUGGAAUUUUGGUAUUAAUUCUCAUAGCACUUCUCUUACCAUCAAGUGAAACAAAAGACAUAAAUAGUUGUUGUCUAUAGACUAAUAGCUAGCGUGUAUGAGCAAUGUGAGGACGUGUACACUAGCUUGAUGUUAACCUUUCUGUUAGGGAAGCGAUGUAGGAUAAUCAUUAACUUGAAAGUUGUAGUGAAAAAAAGUUCAAUGGUAGACGGGUUUAUUUUCGAACGGGAAUUCCUCAUUCGAUGGUGUUUUUCAUCAUGAUCUGUUUUUAUAAUAAUGUGGACUAGUUGGUUUACUACGCACUAUAGUUGGUGGGAAACCUAGUAGAAACCAAAAAAAAUCUUCACUACCUAUGUAUACCCAUGUAAAAGGGUCACAUCCCGAUCUCACCUCAUUUGUGAUUUUUUUUCCGGAUGUGAUCCUUUUUUUACCGUCACCCGUUAUGGUUGUAGGCAUACACACAUCCUACUGUCACUCAUUCUGGCGGUAGGGGUCGGGCCAACGCAUAUGACACUUUGGGAUCAACGGGGUCAAAUGACGCCACCUCCACUGACCUCACCCUUACCGCCACUUCGUGUGGCGAUAGGAAAAAAAAGCCAGUCAGAUCAGGCUAAAGUUAGCAAAAAGGGUCAAAAUCGUGAAUUUGGCCCCUAUAGGAGAGAUAAUUUUAAAUACAAAUGUUUAUAUAUUACUAACAUUUUCGCAUGAGGUUCUCCACUUCCAAUGGUUUUUUCCAACUUGAUUGGUACCUUCAUUGCAAACCAGCUUUUAGGUCCAAUGUUGUUCUCCUCUUAGCAUGACUAAGUUGAUUUGUUGUGCAUGUGUAAGACUGUGUUUGGUUCAACUUAGGGGCCAGCUUUUAGGUCCAAUGUUGUUCUCCUCUUAGCAUGACUUAAGGUAAUAUGCUUAAGUUGAUUUGUUGUGCAUGUGUAAGGUUGUGUUUGGUUCAACUUAGGGGCCAGCUUUUAGGUCCAAAAGCUAAAAUCUGAACCACACGUGUUUUCCAUCGGACUAACUUCGUAAGAAACUGCGGAUUCUCUCUCCGUAAAUUUCGUAGCUAGCCCAACCCAACUUUCCCAACUUGAAAACCAACCCAAAUAAUUGUCCCGAGGAAGUUGGGUAUUAUUUACCCACGUUUGGCACUCUGAAGUGAAGGUAACCCUUCGAUCUAUUCUCCCACGACCCGUCACUCAAUGAACAGACAGAGCCGCGAGCCGCUCCGGGAGAUGCUCUCCUCGCUAGGGUUCGCCGCCACCAGCAACUACAGCCGGCCUCUGGCGAUCCUCCGACCCCCACUGUCGCCCGAAGCUUCAUUUUCAUCCGAGGUAAUACCUUUGUCCCUCUCCUCCCUCUUUCCUCCCUCCAUCCCCUUCGUCCCUUCCUUCAACCGGUCGUCAUGCGAUCCUCAUCUAGUCGGUCGUCACGCAUCGCGGGAGCACUGCGGGCUUGUCGUUCGGCGCCGUCGGAGCACCGACCCUCGUUCACCCCUACCCCCUCGUCCCCCUUCGUCCCCUUCGUCCCUCCUUUCUCCCCUUCGUCUAUGUCCGUCAACCCUCGUCGAGUCAAUCGUCACGCACCGCCACUACCGACUGGCCAUCCAGCACCAUCGGAGCAACGUCCCUCCUUCACCCCCACCCUACUGCCUCCUCCCUCCUUCAUAUGUCCUCCCUCUCUCUAUUCCAGAAUGAUCCAGAUCUGGGCCUCCCUUGUUUUCUUAAUUAUUGGAUGAGUAUGUUAUGUAGUAUGGCUAUUUUGUGAGUAUGUAGAUGGUUACUUGAUGGUAUUGCUGCAUAUUGUUUGUCAUAUUGGUUAGUAUUGUUGAACUAUGGGUUUUUUUUUGUUAAUAUUGGUGCAUAUUAUCGGGGAACGUUGCAUGGGAAACAAAAAAUUCCCUACGCACACGAAGACCUAUCAUGAUGAUGAUCAUCUACGAGAGGGAGAUCAGAUCCACAUAACCUUGUAGAAUGCUAAGUGGAAGCGUAUAUAAUGCGGUUGAUGUAGUGGAACAUCUUCGCGAUCCAAAUCACAACCCGUCCCACGAUAUCAUCACGAUCCGUCCCGCGAUCCCAUCACGAUCCAUGCCGAUCUAGUGCCGAACGGACGACACCUCCGCGUUCAACACACGUAUAGCUCGAUGACGAUCCCGGCCUUCUUGAUACAGCAAGAGGGGCAGAGAAGUAGAUGAGUUCUCCAGCACGUCGUGGUGGUGGUGAUGGUGAACUAAUUCAGCAGGGCUUCACCUAGUGCUCCCUUGUACAAGUGGAAUGGUGUGAAUGUGCCUCAAAUUUGGAAAGAGGUCAUCCCAAAAAUAAGGAAGAUAACAGCCAACAAGUGGCCUAGUGCUCCCUUGAACAAAAACAAGAAGUGGAAAUGGCGGCUUGACAACAACUCCGUGUGAGGUAAGCAAAAGCAAUAAAACGCAAGCACUUUUUUUUAACUAUGGAAGCUUUUGCUUGUGUGUUGAGUUAUGUAAGAGUUUUCAACUUUUCUUUUCUGUUGACUAAUUAUUAUUUAACCUGAGGACCAAUUAUUCUGUAACCUGACAACUAAGUAGUACAUAAUCUGGAAACUAAGGAUUAUAUAAACUGGUAGCUAAGUACUUUCAUCUACAACUAUCUUUUAACAACAUGAUAAUUAAGAUGUAGCAACUAAGUACUUCCAUCUGAGAACCUGAUAAUUAGUUAUCUGACAACUAUCUUUUUUAAUCAAAAUAACUAAGUAAUUGCAUUCUGGCAACGACUCCCUUUGUAUCAAUACAAUAACAAGCUAGUACUAACCUUUUUUUAAAACUACAGCAGGCCGCUUUCACUGUAGUUAGCUAUGCAUGAGACAAGAGGCAUGCGUUUCACUGUAGUUAAUUAUGCAUGGGACAGGAGGCAUGCGUUGCGAGGCUCUGACAGAGUGGCUAGCCGCUGCAUCGCACGCAUGCUACGCAACUAUUUUAGAAACCGCCGCACGAAACACAUACGUUUUUAGUUGUCGGAUUAUAGUGUACUUACUUGCCAGUUCUAAAAAAAUUCAGUUUUGCCAAAUACAUGUGCUCAAAUUCUGGCAAGAGAUGGUUUUCAUUUAGGAAACUAAGUAUUAAAAAUGCUUCAAUCAGAUUUUUUUAAAACCUAGCAGCCAAACGAUUGUAUUUUAAAUUAAACGACUUAGUAUAACCUUUACACAUAAACUGAGGGGAAUACAAGAAAGUUACAUAUCACACAAAAGAGACACACAUAUAUAAAAUAGCACCAAGAACGACAUUAGCACCCCUCGCAGAACAUAGAGCAUUCAGAAUUACAUAUAUAAAUAGCUUCCAGAAUUUUAUAUAUAAAUCCAACAUUACACAAUACAUCCAGGAAAACAUCUCAUCUUCAGUUUGGAAGGGGGGCGGGUUUGUCCCUCGUCGAGCAUGUCCUCACAUCAUGUGUGAUUGAUCCAGAGAGCCGACAGGUCUUUUUUUCUUUCUUGCCAAUGUUCAAUGGGUGCUGGAAUGUCUUCUUCCUCUUGCGCCCUUUGUGUUUGACUUUUUUGGGUCACGAAGGAUAGGAUCAUGAGCAACUACAUGUGAAGAAUGGUGCUGGUUGUUCGAGCCACGAAACAGGGUAGAAGUAGCAUUUGUAGCAACAACCAUUGGCCAAGCAGACACACUCAAAACACUCAUGGAUGCACUUUGGCUUUGAAUUUGGGGGUCAGAAGCAGCUGCAUGGGGAGAGUGGGCUUGGUUGUUUGAGCGAGGACCGGCUUGGACAAUAUAGAUACUUGGACCAACAAUGUUCAACAUAACCGACGCACUAGCUGCAGCCGCCAAAGCACUUCGGGCAGAAUAUGCACCUAGAGUAGCAGACCCUAUAGCAGCAGACUUUGACAUAGUUGUUGUACUCCCAGCUACCGUUGUAGCACCGUGGCAUAUAAUGUUUGGCUCAGCAAGAACUACAUAGGAUGAACGGACUUUAUUGUUGGAAGCACCAACUUGGGCAGAAUAUACACCAGGAGCAUCAGGAUUUGGCAUAAAUGGUGCACUCACAGCAGCCACCGAAGCACUUCGGCCCUGAGUGGUUGGCUCGAAAGUAGCUGCAUACAAACAAUGACCUUGGUUGUUGGAGACGUGAACUUGGGCAGAAUAGGCACGUGGAGCAGCAUAUUUUGACAUAGAUGGUGCACUCGCAACAGUUGCUGAAGAAUCUGGAGCAACAUCAACCAUUGAUCCUCUUUUCGUUUGUUCUUUCGCAAGUGCAGCAAGCUCCCUCUUCAUAUCCUUUAAGUGUGUACCUAUUAUCUUCGACCAUCAGUUGUGCGGCACCCAACUUUAGCAAGUGAGGCAAACUCAUUCUUCAUGAGGGUUGUUUUCAUCAGAAUCACUGACUCCUCAGGCAUCUCAUGCACUUUGCCACGGACUUGUGACGACAUAUCAACGAGCAUUUCCUCCAUAAGCCAUGUCCAUCUCUUGAGUAUGUAUGUUGCUGGCAACGUGGUAACACCAAGAUGGACCAUGACCUGCAUCGUACAAGUAAAUAAUACAUUAGUCAUGGAAAGAAAAAGACAGAUAUUUUGAGUCAUUCAAUUAUGCAUUUGGAGAACCCAGCAACCCCCAAAAUCUGCGAAGUAGGAAAAGAAGUGGAGAACAUGACAAUUAUGAAUACAAAAGCCAGCAAGUCCGCAAAAUAGGAAUAUGGAAAUGUGUUGGAAAUAUGCCCUAGAGGCAAUGAUAAAUACUUAUUAUUACAUUUCCAGUUACAAAGAUAAUCGUUUAUUAUCCAUGUUAUAAUUGUAUUGAAUGAAAACAUAGAUACAUGUGUGGAUACAUAGACAAAACAAUAUCCCUAGCAAGCCUCUAGUUGGCUAGCCAGUCGAUCAAUGAUAGUCAAGAUUUUCUGACUAUGUGCAAGUGUUGUCACUUGAUAACUGGAUCACAUCAUUAGGAGAAUCAUGUGAUGGACUAGACCCAAACUAUGAACGUAGCAUAUUGAUCGUGUCGUUUUAUUGCUAUUGUUUUCUGCGUGUCAAGUAUUUGUUCCUAUGACAAUGAGAUCAUAUAACUGACUGGCACCGGAGGAAUACCUUGUGUGCAUCAAACGUCGCAACGUAACUGGGUGACUAUAAAGGUGCUCUACAGGUAUCUCCGAAGGUGUCCAUUGAGUUAGUAUGGAUCAAGACUAGGAUUUGUCACUCCGUGUGACGGAGAGGUAUCUCGGGGCCCACUCGGUAAUACAACACAACACACAAGCCUUGCAAGCAAUGUGAUUAAGUGUAAGUCACGGGAUCUUCUUUACGGAACGAGUAAAGAGACUUGACGGUAACGAGAUUGAAAUAGGUAUGCGAAUACCGACGAUCGACCCUCGGGCAAGUAACAUACCGAAGGACAAAGGAAAUGACAUACGGGAUUAUAUGAAUCAUUGACACUGAGGUUCAAUCGAUAAGAUCUUUGGAGAAUAUGUAGGAUCCAAUAUGAGCAUCCAGGUCCCGCUAUUGGAUAUUGACCGAGGAGUGUCUCGGGUCAUGUCUACAUAGUUCUCGAACCCGCAGGGUCUGCACACUUAAGGUUCGAUGAUGUUUUAGUAUAGUUGAGUUAUAUGUGUGGUUACCGAAUGUUGUUCGGAGGCCCGGAUGAGAUCACGGACGUCACGAGGGUUUUCCAGAAUGGUCCGAAAACGAAGAUUGAUAUAUAGGAUGGUUUCAUUUGGUCAUCGGAAAGUUUCGGGCAAUUCCGGCAGUGUACACGGAGUGACGAAUGUGUUCCGGGUGUUUACCGGGAGGGGCCCACCCACCCGGGAGUGAGCCCAAGGCCCUAGGGUGGCGCACCAAGCCCCUAGUGGGCUGGUGGAGUCAGCCCAAGAGGGCUAUGUCGCCACAUAAGAAAAUACCAAAAGAAAAGAAGAAAAAAAGGAAAGAGGGAGGUGGGAAGGAAGAGGAGGACUCCUCCUUCCCAAAUCAAAUUGGAGGAGUCCUCCUCCUCCUGGCGUCCGGCGCACCUGGAGGCCCUUGUGCCUCAAGGCUUGCCCCUCUCCUCCUCCUAUAUAUAUAUUGGUAGUUUAGGGCUUUUUGAGACACAACUUUACCACAUGCAACUCAAGGCUAUUCCACAUAGUUUUAACUCUAGAUCGGAUUUCUGCGGAGCUCGGGCGGAGCCUUGCAAGAGUAGAUCGUCACCACCACCGGAGCGCCGUCACGCUGUCGGAGAACUCAUCUACUUCUCCGUCUUGCUUGCUGGAUCAAGAAGGCCAAGAUCAUCGUUGAGCUGUACGUGUGCUGAACGCGGAGGUGUCGUCCGUUCGGCGCUAGAUCGAAACGGAUAGUGGGACGGAUCGCGAGACGGUUCGUGGGACGGAUCCUGGGGCGGUUCGAGGGACGUGAAGACGUUCCACUAUAUCAACCGCGUUUCUUAACGCUUCCUGCUGAGCGAUCUACAAGGGUAUGUAGAUCUAAUCUCCACUCGUAGAUGGACAUCACCAUGAUAGGUAUCCGUAUGCGUAGGAAUUUUUUUGUUUCUCAUGCAACGUUCCCCAACAGUGGCAUCAUGAGCUAGGUUGAUGCGUAGAUGUUAUCUCGAGUAGAACACAAAAGGUUUUUUGGACGGUGAAGUUCGAUUUGCUGCCCUCCUUAGUCUUUUCUCGAUUCGGCGGUAUUGUUGGAUUGAAGCGGCCCGGACCGACAUAACUCGUACGCUUACGAGAGACUGGUUUCAUCGAUUGACAUGCAACCUCGUUGCAUAAAGAUGACUGGUGGGUGUCGGUUUCUUCAACUUUAUUUGAAUUGGUUUUUGACCGAGGCCGUCCUUGGAGAGAGGUUAAAUAGCAAUUUGCACAUCUCCGUUGUGGUUUUUGCGUAAGUAAGAUGCGAUCAUACUAGAUACCCAUAGCAGCCACAUAAAAUAUGCAACAACAAAUUAGAGGACGUCUAACUUGUUUUUGCAGGGUAUGCUUGUGAUAUGAUAUGGCCAAUGACGUGAUGUGAUAUAUUGGAUGUAUGAGAUCAUCAUGUUGUAAUAGUUAAUAUUGACUUGCACGUCGAUGCUACGACAACCGGCAGGAGCCAUAGGGUUGUCUUUAAACUAAUGUUUGUGUUUGCAGAUGCGUUUACUAUAUUUCUAGGUCAUAGCUUUAGUGGUAAUAGCAUAGAUAACACGACAACCUCGAUGGCGACACGUUGAUGGAGAUCAUGAUGAUGGAGAUCAUGGUGUGGCUCCGGUGACAAGAAGAUCAUGACGGUGCUUUGGUGAUGGAGAUCAAGAAGCACAAGAUGAUGGCCAUAUCAUGUCACUUAUGAAUUGCAUGUGAUGUUAAUCCUUUUCUGCACCUGAUUUUGCUUAGAACGACGGUAGCAUUAUGAGGUGAUCUCUCACUAAAAUUUCAAGACGAAAUUGUGUUAUCCCCAACUGUGCACCGUUGCGACAGUUCGUAGUUUCGAGACACCACGUGAUGAUCAGGUGUGAUAGACUCAACGUUCACAUACAACGGGUGCAAAACAGUUGCACACACGGAACACUCGGGUUAAACUUGACGAGCCUAGCAUGUGCAGACAUGGCCUCGGAACACAUGAUACCGAAAGGUCGAGCAUGAAUCAUAUAGUUGAUAUGAUUAGCAUAGAGAUGCUUACCACUGAAACUAUUCUCAACUCACGUGAUGAUCAGACUUGAGUUAGUGAAUUUGGAUCAUGUACCACUCAAAUGACUAGAGAGAUGUACUUUUUGAGUGGGAGUUUAUCAAGUAAUUUGAUUAGUUAAACUCUAAUUAUCUUAAACUUAGUCUAAGUCCACUUUGCAAUAUUUGUGUUGUAGAUCAAUCGCUCACGCAAUAGUCACCCUGAAUUUUAAUACGUUCCUAGAGAAAUCUAAGUUGAAAGAUGAUGGAAGCAACUUUGUAGACUGGGCUCGUAAUCUUAAGUUGCUCCUGCAAGCUUGGAAGAAAGAUUAUGUCCUUAAUGCUGCGCUAGGAGAUGAACUACCCGCUAUGGCUGACCAAGAUGUUAAGAACGCUUGGUUAACAUGUAAGGAGGACUACUGAGUAGUUCAGUGUGCAGUCUUGUAUGGCUUAGAGUCGGGACUUCAACGUUGCUUUGAGCGUCAUGGAGCAUAUGAGAUGUUCCAGGAGUUAAAGUUUAUCUUUCAGAAGAACGCCCGGAUCGAGAGGUAUGAGACCUCCGAUAAAUUCUGUGCUUGCAAGAUGGAGGAGAAUUCGUCUGUCAGUGAACAUGUGCUCAAAAUGUCUGGGUACUCAAACCGUCUAGCUGAACUGGGCAUUGAACUCCCGCAAGAAGCUAUCACUGACAGAAUCCUUCAAUCACUGCCGCCAAGCUAUAAAGGGUUUGUGUUGAACUAGAACAUGCGAGGGAUGAACAAGUCUCCCGGCGAGUUGUUUGCGAUGCUGAAAGUCGCAGAGUCUGAACUCCGUAAAGAGCAUCAAGUGUUGAUGGUGAAUAAGACCACUAGUUUCAAGAGAAACGACAAAGGCACGAAGGGCAAUUCGAAGAAGAGCGGCAAACCUGUUGCCAAUCCGCCGAAGAAACCCAAGGCUGGACCUAAGCCUGAAACAGAGUGCUUCUAUUGCAAGGGUAUGUGUCACUCGAAGCGCAAUUGCCCCAAGUAUCUGGCAGAUAAGAAGGCGGGCAAAGAAAAAUCAGGUAUAUUUGAUAUACAUGUUAUUGAUGUGUACUUAACCGGCUCUCAUAGUAGUGCCUGGGUAUUCGAUACCGGUUCUGUUGCUCAUAUUUGCAACUCGAAGCAGGAACUGCGGAAUAGACGAAGGCUGGCGAAAGACGAAGUGACGAUGCGCGUAGGAAACGGUUCCAAGGUUGAUGCAAUCGCCGUCGGCACAGUGUCACUUCAGCUACCAUCGGGAUUAGUGAUGAACUUAAAUCAUUGUUAUUUAGUGCCUGCGUUGACCAUGAACAUUAUAUCUGGAUCUUGUUUAUUGCAAGACGGUUACUCUUUUAAGUCUGAGAAUAAUGGUUGUUCUAUUUCUGUGAGUAACAUCUUUUAUGGUCAUGCACCGAAUGUGAGAGGAUUGUUCAUAUUGAAUCUUGAUAGCGAUACGCAUAUACAUAACAUUGAGACCAAAAGAGUUAGAGUAAACAAUGAUAGCGCCAUAUUUUUGUGGCACUGCCGUUUAGGUCAUAUUGGUGUAAAGCGCAUGAAGAAACUCCAUGCUGAUGGACUUUUGGAGUCACUUGACUUUGAUUCACUUGACACGUGCGAACCAUGUCUCAUGGGCAAGAUGACUAAAACUCCGUUCUCCGGAACAAUGGAGCAUGCAAGUGACUUGUUGGAAAUCAUACAUACCGAUGUGUGUGGACCAAUGAGCGUAGAGGCACACGGUGGAUAUCGUUAUUUUCUUACCUUCACUGACGAUUUAAGUAGAUAUGGUUAUGUCUACUUGAUGAAGCACAAGUCUGAAACAUUUGAAAAGUUCAAGCAAUUUCAGAGUGAAGUGGAAAAUCAUCGUAACAAGAAGAUCAAGUUCCUACGUUCUGAUUGUGGGGGUGAAUAUCUGAGUUUCGAGUUUGGUGCUCACUUAAGACAAUGUGGAAUUGUUUCACAGUUAACACCGCCNNNNNNNNNNNNNNNNNNNNNNNNNNNNNNNNNNNNNNNNNNNNNNNNNNNNNNNNNNNNNNNNNNNNNNNNNNNNNNNNNNNNNNNNNNNNNNNNNNNNCAGAAGCACGGUGUACUCUACGAUUCUCUUUCUUUGAGUCAUAGGAACGCCCUACUGUUAAGAGGGGACCCGUAGUGGAAAGGUUUGGGUGGAAUCAAUUUUGCAUGCACUCACUUUAUCUUCCUUCCCCUUGCCUGCAACUUUGGAGUAUCUCCCGCCUAUGUGCUUAUCUCAUCUAAGCAAAAGGUCCCCCAGCGGUAGUACCGCUGUGGCUAGCGGUAGUAUCGCUAGCCCUAGCGGUAGUACCGCUAGAGUGCUAGCGGUAGUACCGCUGCCGCCAGCGGUAGUACCGCUAGCUGGCGGUAGUACCGCCCCUGGUGAGCGGUAGUACCACCCCAGAAGCUUAGUACCGCCUUCCUAGUGGUUGUACUUCGACGGACCUUUUUGCGAAGACUUUCUUGGCGGUGGUUGGCCCGGUACUGCUUAUGCACUACCAUGGGCCCAACGGUAGUACCGCUGGAGUGCUAGCGAUAGUACCGCUGGGUCCAGCGGUAGUACCACUAGGCACGGGCCGUGAGUGGGAAAACGGUUGGAUUUUUCCCCUCACUAUAUAAGGGGUUCUUCUAGCUGUGGAACCCCAUCUCUUACCCUUCCAAGCUCCAUUGUUGCUCCCUAAGCUCAAAAGUGCCCGAUCUCUCUCCCUAGCCAAUCAAACUUGUUGAUUCUUUAGGGAUUGGUUGAGAAGGCCUAGAUCCACACUUCCACCAAGAGAAAAGUUGAUUCCCCCACCAAUCCCUUGCGGANNNNNNNNNNAAAACUUGUUGAUUCUCUAGGGAUUGAUUGAGAAUGCCUAGAUCUACACUUCCACCAAGAGAAAAGUUGAUUCCCCCACCAAUCCCUUGCGGANNNNNNNNNNCUAGGGAUUGGUUGAGAAGGCCUAGAUCUACACUUCCACCAAGAGANNNNNNNNNNNNNNNNNNNNNNNNNNNNNNNNNNNNNNNNNNNNNNNNNNNNNNNNNNNNNNNNNNNNNNNNNNNNNNNNNNNNNNNNNNNNNNNNNNNNUCNNNNNNNNNNNNNNNNNNNNNNNNNNNNNNNNNNNNNNNNNNNNNNNNNNNGGCGGCAGGGAGGGUUUGCGUCGGCGAGGCCCGCGGCGAGGGGCGAUGCGAGGGGCGAUGGAGGGUGGGGGCGGGCGAGGGACGCAAUAAAUUGGGGCCGCUGGGGUGGGCUGGCUUCGCUAUGCUGGUUAACCUCGGAAGGAAAAAGGAAAGGGAAGGGAAGGUGUUAAUUCCGGAGUGGAGUUAAUGCGCUCCGCUGCCGCUCGCUCGCUCGCCCUGCUAAUCCUAAUCGCGGGGUUAGUGGAUUAUGAGAUGAUGGAUUACGAAUCCGGCGAGCCGCGCUUUACCGCUGCCCGCUGGGGGAGAAAGAGGGAGGGAGGGAGGAAGAGAGCCGCCGC